AGAGUUUGAUCAUGGCUCAGGAUGAACGCUAGCGGCAGGCUUAACACAUGCAAGUCGAGGGGCAGCGGGUGUAGCAAUACAUGCCGGCGACCGGCGAAAGGGUGAGUAACGCGUGAGCAACGUGCCCGUAUGUGGGGGAUAGUCGAUGGAAACGUCGCGUAAUACCCCGUAACAUAUGGAACCGCAUGGUUUCAUAUUGAAAGAUUUAUUGCAUACGGAUCGGCUCGCGUGUCAUUAGGUAGACGGCGGGGUAACGGCCCACCGUGCCGACGAUGGCUAGGGGUUCUGAGAGGAAGGUCCCCCACAUUGGAACUGAGACACGGUCCAGACUCCUACGGGAGGCAGCAGUGAGGAAUAUUGGACAAUGGCCGGAAGGCUGAUCCAGCCAUGCCGCGUGCGGGAAGACGGCCCUAUGGGUUGUAAACCGCUUUUGCGGGGGAGCAAUAAGGUGAACGCGUUCACCGAUGAGAGUACCCUGCGAAUAAGCAUCGGCUAACUCCGUGCCAGCAGCCGCGGUAAUACGGAGGAUGCAAGCGUUAUCCGGAUUUAUUGGGUUUAAAGGGUGCGUAGGCGGUUUGCUAAGCGGGAGGUGAAAUGCCGGCGCUCAACGUCGGAAGUGCCUCCCGAACUGGUGGACUGGAAUGACUCUGCCGUGGGAGGAAUGUGUAGUGUAGCGGUGAAAUGCUUAGAGAUUACACAGAACACCGAUUGCGAAGGCAUCUCACGAAGGGUUGAUUGACGCUGAGGCACGAAAGCGUGGGGAUCAAACAGGAUUAGAUACCCUGGUAGUCCACGCAGUAAACGAUGAUGGCUAACCGCUGGGGCUGACGCUUCAGUGGCCAAGCGAAAGCGAUAAGCCAUCCACCUGGGGAGUACGACCGCAAGGUUGAAACUCAAAGGAAUUGACGGGGGCCCGCACAAGCGGAGGAACAUGUGGUUUAAUUCGAUGAUACGCGAGGAACCUUACCCGGGCUCGAACGGC
rnacentral:rRNA from 1 species